rnacentral:rRNA from 1 species
UCAUAGAGGGUGAGAAUCCCGUCUACGACACGGACUGCCAGUGCUUUGUGAUACACUCUCAACGAGUCGAGUUGUUUGGGAAUGCAGCUCAAAAUGGGUGGUAAAUUCCAUCUAAAGCUAAAUACAGGCGAAAGACCGAUAGCGAACAAGUACCGUGAGGGAAAGAUGAAAAGCACUUUGGAAAGAGAGUUAAACAGUACGUGAAAUUGUUGAAAGGGAAACGCUUGAAGUCAGUCGCGUCUUCAGAAAUUCAGCUUGGCUUCUGCCGGGUGUACUUUUCUGUUGGACGGGCCAGCAUCAGUUUUGGCCGCCAGAAAAAGGUGGGAGGAAGGUGGCACCUCCGGGUGUGUUAUAGCCUCUCACCGUAUGUGGCGGCUGGGACUGAGGAUCGCAGCAUGCCUUCAUGGCCGGGGUUCGCCCACGUAACGUGCUUAGGAUGCUGGCGUAAUGGCUUUAAGCGACCCGUCUUGAAACACGGACCAAGGAGUCUAACAUGCCUGCGAGUAUUUGGGUGGUAAACCCAUAUGCGGAAUGAAAGUGAACAGUUGGGACUUCUGUCAUGGAAGGCACCGACGCCCGGACCAGACCUAUUGUGACGGAUCCGAGGUAGAGCAUGUAUGUUGGGACCCGAAAGAUGGUGAACUAUGCCUGAGUAGGGUGAAGCCAGAGGAAACUCUGGUGGAGGCUCGUAGCGAUUCUGACGUGCAAAUCGAUCGUCGAA